UCCGGUUUAUCACCGGCAGUCUCCUUAGAGUGCUCAGCCGAACUGGUAGCAACUAAGGACAGGGGUUGCGCUCGUUACGGGACUUAACCCAACAUCUCACGACACGAGCUGACGACAGCCAUGCAGCACCUGUGUUCAGGUUCCCGAAGGCACUCUCUCAUCUCUGAAAGAUUCCUGACAUGUCAAGGGUAGGUAAGGUUCUUCGCGUUGCAUCGAAUUAAACCACAUGCUCCACCGCUUGUGCGAGCCCCCGUCAAUUCCUUUGAGUUUUAGCCUUGCGGCCGUACUCCCCAGGCGGAGAACUUAACGCGUUAGCUGCGGCACUAAGAAGCUGAGCUUCCCAACGCCUAGUUCUCAUCGUUUAGGGCGUGGACUAC
rnacentral:misc_RNA from 1 species